AACGAACGCUGGCGGCAUGCCUAACACAUGCAAGUCGAACGAGACCUUCGGGUCUAGUGGCGCACGGGUGCGUAACGCGUGGGAACCUGCCCUUAGGUUCGGAAUAACUCCCCGAAAGGGGUGCUAAUACCGGAUAAUGUCUUCGGACCAAAGAUUUAUGGCCUUUGGAUGGGCCCGCGUUGGAUUAGCUAGUUGGUAGGGUAAAAGCCUACCAAGGCGACGAUCCAUAGCUGGUCUGAGAGGAUGAUCAGCCACACUGGGACUGAGACACGGCCCAGACUCCUACGGGAGGCAGCAGUGGGGAAUAUUGGACAAUGGGCGAAAGCCUGAUCAAGCAAUGCCGGGUGAGUGAUGAAGGCCUUAGGGUUGUAAAGCUCUUUUAGCCGGGAUGAUAAUGACAGUACCGGGAGAAUAAGCUCCGGCUAACUCCGUG
rnacentral:rRNA from 1 species